rnacentral:lncRNA from 1 species
GCUCUGUCAUGCGUCUCCUAUUUCAUCAGGAUUCGUGAUGGUCGAGACAGCCCAUCUGUUUCCAAGGUUCAAUUCCCAGACUGCUUAUUCUCGUUCGAUUCCUGUUUCUCCAUCUCUAUUCCUAACUUAAAUUCCUUUCAAUUCCCGUCUAGAACUUUAGUCCUUGUUUAGAUUCAAAAAGUUUUUGACACUGUAGCACUUUCGUUCUUAUUUGAUAAACAUUGUCUAAUCAUGGAGUAGCUAGAUUUAAAAGAUUCGUCUCACGAUUUACAGUCAAACUAUGCAAUUAGUUUUUAUUUUUAUCUAUAUUUAAUGCUUCAUGCAUGUGCCGCAAGAUUCCAUGUGACGAAGAAUCUUAAAAAGUUUUUUAUUUUUUGGGUGAACUAAACAAGGCCUUAGUUCAAAAAAAUGAAAAAAAAAUAGAUUCCCCAUCACAGCGAAUCUUGCGGCACAUAUAUGGAGUAUUAAUAUAAAUAAAAAAUACUAAUUGCACAGUUUGUCUGUACUUUGCGAGACGAAUCUUUUGAGCCUAAUUAGUUCAUGAUUGAACAAUAUUUAUCAAAUACAAACAAAAGUGCUACAAUGUCCAUUUAGUUCCAAAAAAAUUGCAAAAUGGACAUUGUAGUAUUUUCGUUUGUAUUUGAUAAAUAUUGUCCAAUCAUGGACUAACUAGGCUCAAAAGAUUCGUCUCGCAAAUUAUAGGCAAACUGUAUAAUAAAUUAUUUUUUAUCUAUAUUUAAUACUUCUUGCAUACGCCACAAGAUUUGAUGUGAUAAAGAAUCUAAAUUUUUUGUAAAUUUUUUCAAGAACUAAAUAAGACCAGAGUGCCUAAAAAAAAAUUGGAACUAAACAACCUUGCUCACCUUUCUUAUACCUCUAUCUUCUCCCUCGGUCAGACACUCCUCUCUCUCUCAUCCAACAAUCGUCUCUCUUUAUCCCUCUUUUUCUCUCUCUCUCUUCCUCUCUCUCCCUCAGAUCCGACACUCGUCUCUCUCCAAAUUUGAGCAAUUUGUUUCCCCUUUCGAGCUCUUUCUCUCUCUCCAGAAAGCUCUCGGCCUCUUUCUGCCAAACGCUCUAGAGUCCCAUCUCUCUCCCGUUCUUUUUCCAUUUUUUUUACAAUAUUGGUUUAUUUAAAUUCAACUUACCAAUAAGCUACCGUAGUUCCGAUUUAUAUUCUAGCUUGCAUUUUCUGCUACAAUGUCAAUUUUUCCCUUCUCUUCCCCAAUAUUUUUUAUCUUAGUUUAUUUUUAAUCCAAGUUACCUGACCUGCUGCAGUUUUGAUUCGUGUUCUGGCUUGCAUUCUUUUGCUCUCAUCUCUUGAUUCUUUUCCCUUCUCUUCCCCAAUAUUUUCUUAUAUGAGAAAUUUUACAAUGGUUGAAAAAAACAUGGACCAUCCAUUGUCUACGAUCGGACGGUGGAAAAGUAGGAAGAACCGAAGCGAAAGUACGUGGAAGUACAAAUAGUAGGAGAAAGUACCAGAUUUGAUAGGACCGGUACCAAAAUAUGUGGUACCAUAUCUUUUUUUUAUUUUCAUUUUUUUCGAAUAAGGGCUAUUCUGUCAUUUCAAUGUGGCCAUUAAAGGGUAGAAAAGAGAUUUUCCAUGUCUUAUACGAAGGGUCAUCCACUCAUCCGGCUUCUCGUACUUGGGCAUGGCGUUGCAUCUCUCUCCCCACCGGCAGGUGUGGCCAGAGCGGAGUGCUCUGCAGUGCGGCGGCGGGGAGUGCGGGGCGGGCGGGGCGCCGGAUCCCGAGCGAGCUGCUCCUGCCGGUGAGUGCACCCGCGCACGCUUGUUGGAUGCGCUAGGACGCGAGUUCUGGUGAGCCUCGGUGGAGGUGCGGUGGCCGGAGUGCGACGGGGACGGCUGUGACUCCGGAGCGCGGCGGUCUGGGACUCUUGAGCGCGGCGGCCGGUGCUGGGCGCGGCCCCGAUGGGCGUGGUCGGCGCGGGCAUGGCGAGGCUGGAGAGCUGGGCCUAGGAUUGCAUCGUCGAGGUAUGAACAUUCCUGGCUUAUCCCUUGCAUUUGGGUGGAAGAAGAAUACAAAAAAAGAUCUAGUUUACAUUGAGUUUGUGGCCAGGUGCAAAUUUGGUCAAGUUUAGAUAGAGGUCUAGUAUUUGCCUGUAUCUUUUUAAUUUGUUAGCGUUGGCAAAUUUGGCAUUGGUUUUUUAUUACAGAACUAACUAGGACCGAAUCUGACAUGAGUACAUGAGUAACUAGCAUCAGAUAAAAUCUUACUCUUCUGAAAAUCGAGUUUGGAAGCCAAAUUGUUGAGCACUCGUUCCCUGGUUAGCUGACAGGAUUGCAUAGUUGUUCUGUAGUUAGCAAUCAAAGGAGCAGUGCCUGCUCAUGACGUGCUGGUCUCUGUUCUAGACUUGUAGCAGGUGUUGGAGUUGGAACAACCCACGGCUUCGUCAAUACACCCAGACCCAAUCCCAUCCCCACACUGAAUCUUCUUUUUCUUUACUUUCAUCCACAAUCUUCCCGGGUUUCUCUGACAAAGAUAGUAAGAUGGGUGAAUCAUUUGUUGUCAAUAUUGGUUGUCAAAAAACAGUUGCUCUUUUAAAGCUUGCGUUGCGUGUGUGAAUGAGGGCAGCAGGUAUCAUGCUGCAGUUUGGCUUUCGUUUUGCUAGAUUUAUGUGAAAACUGUGGGAGCUCCAAUGAUUACCUUGCUUUGUUUAAACAUAAACAUCUCAUAGAAACAAUAAUACCAAGCUGGACAUUGAACAUAGGCCAAUUAUCUCUUAGUAUAUAGAAAUUACAGGCUGAACACAAAUAAUGGAAAUAGUAACAUUAUUACAUAUAGAGUCGAUAAUGUAACUUAAAAUUUCUUGUAGGGGCUCAACUGCAACGGUCCUGGAUUAGAGACCCUGCGAUUUGGGCGUUCGACACGAUUAGCAAUAGACGCGGUGGUUAACUGGUCUUUCACAGACAUUGGAGUUUUGUCGUUCUUCUUUGGGCGUCCCCGUUUUCUUUUAUUUGAGGUAUUGGAGUUGCUGGCAUCUAUAGGAUUGCUGAUCUCUUUGACAUCGUCGUCAGCAGCCUCAUUCUUCUUUGGGCGACCCCGUCCCCUUUUAUCUGAGGAAUGGGAGUUGCUGGCAUGUAUAGGAUUGUUAAUCUCUUUGACAUCGUCAUCAGCCGCCUUACUCAUGUCUUCUUGCUGAACUUCAGCACAUUUUGCAUCGUAAGCCUCUUUCUGAAAGUUCAAAUGAGACAUGUUAGAUACAACGAACAAGUAUUGAACCCAUGAUAAGAAUGUGAUACAUUGUUAUACCACGUACCGUAAUAAGGUCCUUAUAUGAGCCUAAUCGAAGCUUGUUGCAAUCAGAUCGCAGGAGUGCGGAGCUAAUUUUCCUUUUGAAAAUAUGUAUGUGGGUCUGAAUUUCAGAAGAACUAACAUGAUGUUUAAAAAGUGCCAGUCUAUGUUUUAGUGAUUAGAUAUAUGUAGUCUAUAAAUAAUAUAAGAGUGACCUGUGUGAAAUGUUCUGUCAUCUUGUCCCCAUCCCAUGCCAUCAUGUACUUAAGGACGAAUGCACCACAAGAAUGGCUGCAGGUAUAUAAUGUUAAAUAAGUAUAGUAGAGAAAUAAAUUUUAUAGGAAAAGUAUAAUAUAUUACCCAUCUGUUUGUUGUGGUAUGUUAGAAUACAUUUCUGUUUCCCACUGCAUAAUAUUGAUAGCUUGGGUUACUGAAACAUUACCAACGGCAAUAGCAAAGUCAAUGCACUCUUGUAUGUUGCCCACCUAUUUUAUUGUUCGACAUAUGAUUAGUUAGAUGUGUAAAAGCUAUGUGUUAAUUGUGUUGUGUAUGUAACUAAUAUAAUAAGCGUACUUACCAGUGUAUGUUCUUUGACCACAUCUCUAGUAUGGGGGUUGGAGGCUAGGGAGUUAAGGAUUUGAAUCUCUCCUUUUAAGAAAUUCAGUACUAAUAGGACCCAGUGGUUGUCAUUUACAUUCAUUGGGACAAAUAUCUAUAGAAAAUGGGUGUAAGUACUAAUAGGGGAGAUAUAAGUAUAGAGAUUUAAAUGAAAUUAUACAUACCAAAUUCUUUCCAAUACAUUUGUUUGCAAUUAGGUUAGCCCAUGUUGUUGUUUGUUUUGCAUUGUCUAUGCCUCCAGUUUCACCUAACAACUUUCGAGCCUGCAAAGUUGUUAUGAAUGAUGUGGAAUCGGUCUCCACACUGCUUAUAUGUGCGUAAGCAUUGAUAACCUGAGGUUUGAAAUGUAGGUAACAUCACACAUAUGUAGACAAGAUGAUUUAGAUGCACUGAAAAGGUCUAACCUGAUCAUAUAUGAAGCCAUCUGUGACAUUUUUCUGUAAGUGUUCAAUUGUGAGGACAUAGUCAUCUAUUUGAACAACUUCAGCCUUUGAGUAACUAUAUGUUAAGAAAUAGAAAGCCUCUGUGUCCUCUGUAGUGAUGAGGUAAUCCUUGUCGAAUGCAGGCUUCCGUGGUCCAAUUUGAUGAGUGGGAGCAUGUCGAGGCUCCUUAUUUUCUGCCAUAAUCUUAUCCUGGAAAGCAGGCUUGUGUGGUGCAAUUUGAUUUGUGGGAAGGUCUAAAGGCACCUUAUUAUCUGCCAUAAUCUUAUCCUGUCUAGUAGAUGCUUCCUCAGGUUCUUUGCCCUCCUCUUUGAAUUGAUAUUGUUGAAAGAAUACUGUACAAUUUUGUGGAUGUAGACUCGAUGGUUCCUGAAAAAUAGAUUGUCAAUGAGGGCCAAACAGUUGGUCGUACAAAGAAAAUGUCCAAAGUAUACCUGGAUGUAUGCAGCCUUCGACAUAGACUGUAGAUUUGCCUGCAGUAGUUGCCUCAAUUCCUGUCACAGGAAACUUUCAGUCGGACUGUUAUAUAAGAAUCAAUUGAUUAAAUCACUGUGUUAAAAUAGCAUACCUGAAAUUCCUGUUUUAAUUCAGCAAAAUCAUCCUCUAGCUUAGAUAUUCUCAUUCCUACAACACCCCCCAUUUUUAUUUCUGCUAUCGCCUCGCCGUGUGCAAGAAGUUUGGCAUCAAGUUUAUGCUCUAGGGACAUGAAUUGUCUACCCAUAUCAUUCUGAAAUACUAGAUGAUUGUUGUUCAUACGUUGUACUAUUUGCUCCAUCUGUGCCAUAAAUAGGAGUACAAGUUGAUUAGAGAUACAUUAUAAAUGUAGUAAAUAAACAAAGCAAGUUGGUCUGAUAGGUUUACCUGUUGCUUAUUGAUACUCUGUUCUAGUGAACGUGGCUGAUAGCUGACACCUUCAUGUGCAUGUAUACGUUCAUUUGCUGAACUGAUAGGCAUGGUUUCAUCAAAUUUAGUGUGUCCUAUGAUUUGAGCUAUGUUCAUAACAACCUUGAAAAGGUGGCCAAAGUUAGGAUUGAAGGAGAGAAUAGAACAUAUAUAAUUUUGUGUACUCAAACUUACAAUUCCAUCGUCUAUUUUGUUUUUUCUACCAGCUUCCGUUCUUACUUUAGCUGUGCUUUCAUCCUAUCUUGCCAUCAGUGGUGGUGGGAUUGGGGCAUAGGUAAAACCGUGGUGGCUAUAUGGAUGCACAUGCUCCCAGUACCAGAACUACAUGUAGGAAACAUUAGUGAUGCUAUAGGAAAUUGAAUCAUACUCCAGACGACUAUGUAAGACUUACUUGCAGCAGUGUUAAAUUCCCCUGUAAAUUAACUUGUUCGCCAUGGUUGAAAUUAUGAAUUGAGCUCAGCAGAUGAGUCAAAGUGAAUUGACCCCAAUUAAACUUUGCAAUGUUGCUCGCGUCCUCAACCACCGACAAAUAUUUGGAGUCUACAUAAUCCUUUGUUGUCGGUGCUAGGAGAACUCCAAUUGCGAACAAAACAAAUACCCUAAUGAAGUCAUCGUCUGGUUCUUUAUCUUUGGAUUCAGUAAGAAUUUGCAAUAGGUCAGUAGUCCAUAUUCUGUUCCCACUUCCAUAAGCAAUGAUCAAGUUUAUGUUUGGUUUUGUUUUUGUCCAACUAAAUACAUCCAAUCCUUGUAUGGGGAGGUCCAUUAUUUUGAGUACAUCCUGUGAUGUCAUAGGUAUAUUCUGACCACAUAUAUGGAAUCGCUGAUUCUUGUAGUCAAGACGCUUAGCAAGCUUAAUCAAUAUCAUACGACGAAGGGUCACUGGGUUCAAAUGUAGGAGCCCUCCAAGGCCACAAUGUUCAAUAGCUUUUUUGUGUUUAUCUGAUAAGCCUUUAACCAUGUUUCCAAAUCUGAAUGGUGAGCAUACUAGAUGCAUUUUAGAAUGUUUGCUGACAAUCUGCAACAGACAUGAAUGCUACCUAAGUUACGAGAUAUUGAACUAAUUCUACAUGAAUAAAUCAUUGUCAACAAGUAUACCUCGUCAUCACUAUCUGGUAGCGGCGAUUCAUUGGCUAAUUGGAUACCUGGUCCAACCACUGGUGCGCGUGGUGCAGAAUUCUUCAUGGUCAAAGUAGGUUGAUUUUCAUGACUGUCAGGUAUGAUGCCGUCAGUUCUUGAAGCGUUGCCAUCGCUUCGUGUCAACACCGACGCUUCCAUCAUGUGUACAAAUUUGGCCAAGGCUUUUUUGUUCCUAGAAAAUCAGCACAGAUUACAUGUAGAAGUUGAUUGUAGUACAAAGAAAAUACAUAAGGCUGAUCAUACUAAUGUUAAGCACCUCUUUGAUGUAACAGCAGAUGUGGUGAAGGGCAGGAGGAUGUUGGAGGCCGAGCGUGGCUUGACAGCGGCGAGGCAGAGAUGUAGACUGAUCGGCACACCUCCGCCUGGUGACUGGUGAUCCGUUGACACACGAUCGUUGCUUCACGGCGGCGAGCAGGUGAUAGAGAC